rnacentral:lncRNA from 1 species
UUAAAGCUUAGAUAUUAUUCGAUAAGCGGAACUUACAAAUUGGCUGGAGAUCGUGUCGAUGCAGCCCUGCCAACCUGUACGAACUCAUGAAAAGAAAAAGUUUUGGCGAAGUCACCGACUUGAAAGUAAGUAUAAAGGAAAAGGUAGAUUUGUUGUAUUGAUUGAUAUGUUGUUUACAAGCCUUACGAGGCAACUAUUUAUACCCUAUUACAACUGAUUUCCUAACUGAUUAGGAUCUAUUUCUAAUUUUAAAGAUAAAUAUUUACAAACGUACACAACCCAUACCGGAGUUGGUUAUUAUCUUCCCACGGGCCAAUAUUCUCCUUCAGCUAAUCAUCACCCUGGCCCACUUUAGGCCCAUAUCGGCCCAGCCGCUCCAACUCCCAAUCGGC